rnacentral:lncRNA from 1 species
UUGAAUCCAGAUUUUUAUCCGAUGUAUCCUUUGUGGAUAGUUUUGCUGUAUUGGCAUAUUCCCCAGUACAUGCAUCUUGCGUCAGCUCAAGUCUUUCCAUCGAUUUAUUUUCGUGGAAUCCCUUCGUGUCUCCCAGCAAGUUUUCCAGUCGUGACCUGCUCACGCAUUUUUACCUUAUUUACCCCAGAGUCUUUGUCUCCUUAGUGAGUGUGUUACUCCUAU